CCUUCGAUAGCUCAGCUGGAAGAGCGUGAGACUGUAAUGGAUAACAUUGUAUCUCAAGGCCGCUGGUUCGAUCCCGGCUCGAAGGA